rnacentral:tRNA from 6 species
CGCGGGGUGGAGCAGUUGGCAGCUCGUCGGGCUCAUAACCCGAAGGUCGCAGGUUCAAGUCCUGCCUCCGCAACCA